rnacentral:rRNA from 1 species
AUGGACGCAAGUCUGAACCAGCCAUGCCGCUGCAGGAAGACGGCCCUACGGGUUGUAAACUGCUUUUGUACCGGAAUAAACCUUUUCACGUGUGAGAAGCUGAAUGUACGGUAAGAAUAAGGAUCGGCUAACUCCGUGCCAGCAGCCGCGGUAAUACGGAGGAUCCAAGCGUUAUCGGAUUUAUUGGGUUUAAGGGUGCGUAGGUGGCCUGGUAAGUCAGGGGUGAAAGACGGCAGCUUAACGUCGCAGUGCCUUUGAUACUGCCGGGCUUGAUACAGUUGAAGUGGGCGGAAUGUGACAAGUAGCGGUGAAAUGCAUAGAUAUGUCACAGAACACCGAUCGCGAAGGCAGCUCCCUAAAGUGUGAUUGACACUGAGGCACGAAAGCGUGGGGAUCAAACAGGAUUAGACCCUGGUAGUCCACGCCCUAAACGAUGAAUACUCGAUGUUGGCGAUAUACGGUCAGCGUCUAAGCGAAAGCGUUAAGUACCACCUGGGGAGUA